CCUUGUGAACCUGCAGGCUGGAUCAUCGU
rnacentral:rRNA from 1 species